GAUGAACGCUGGCGGCGUGCCUAAUGCAUGCAAGUCGAGCGAACAGAUGAGGAGCUUGCUCCUCUGACGUUAGCGGCGGACGGGUGAGUAACACGUGGAUAACCUACCUAUAAGACUGGGAUAACUUCGGGAAACCGGAACUAAUACCGGAUAAUAUAUUGAACCGCAUGGUUCAAUAGUGAAAGACGGUUUUGCUGUCACUUAUAGAUGGAUCCGCGCCGCAUUAGCUAGUUGGUAAGGUAACGGCUUACCAAGGCAACGAUGCGUAGCCGACCUGAGAGGGUGAUCGGCCACACUGGAACUGAGACACGGUCCAGACUCCUACGGGAGGCAGCAGUAGGGAAUCUUCCGCAAUGGGCGAAAGCCUGACGGAGCAACGCCGCGUGAGUGAUGAAGGUCUUCGGAUCGUAAAACUCUGUUAUUAGGGAAGAACAAAUGUGUAAGUAACUAUGCACGUCUUGACGGUACCUAAUCAGAAAGCCACGGCUAACUACGUG
rnacentral:rRNA from 1 species